rnacentral:rRNA from 1 species
UACAGAGGGUGCGAGCGUUGUCCGGAAUCACUGGGUGUAAAGCGCGUGUAGGCGGCCUGCCAAGUCUGCUGUGAAAGCGCCUGGCUUAACCGGGCGAGGUCGGUGGAAACUGGCGGGCUGGAGGCUGGUAGAGGGGGGUGGAAUUCCCGGUGUAGUGGUGAAAUGCGUAGAGAUCGGGAGGAACACCAGUGGCGAAGGCGGCCCCCUGGGCCACGCCUGACGCUGAGACGCGAAAGCGCGGGGAGCGAACGGGG